UGCAGACCAGCCGGUAUCGUCAGCUUCACCGCCGACACGUGACAAGAUCAACGGCGAGGAGAAGGCUCGCAGCCGCCGCCGCGACUGGUCCGACUCCGCCACACCCGCGCCCGCCACAGCACCAGCAACAAACACCCUGCACGAAGACGUGAGUGUGCUGGGUGGCGCGGCGCGCUCCCCGCUGCUACAGCAUCAACACCGGCAGUACGACGAGCAGCUGCGCGACAUCGCUGCCUCGCUCACACGGCCGCGCUCGCGCCGCGCCCUGCCGCCGCUCGAGCGCCCCACCCGACUGCCGCCGCCCGACCGACUGCCGGUGCGAGGUACGCCCGAUGGAGGAGCACCGACAGAAGAAGCGAGCUCGAGCUCCGCGAGCGAGGGCAGCGAGGCCGCCGACACUGCGGAGGCGGCGGAAAGCGGUGAGGGCGGGCGAGUGGAACUGCCGGCGGAGCGGCUGCUGCACGCGCG